rnacentral:piRNA from 1 species
UGGUAGCUCACAACCAUUUGCAACUAAAGU